rnacentral:rRNA from 1 species
GACGAACGCUGGCGGCGUGCCUAAUACAUGCAAGUUGAGCGCUGAAGACUGGUACUUGUACCGGUUGGAUGAGCAGCGAACGGGUGAGUAACGCGUGGGUAACCUGCCCUAUAGAGGGGGAUAACUAGAGGAAACUUUAGCUAAUACCGCAUAAAAUCUAAUAACACAUGUUAUAAGAUUGAAAGUGCCAACUGGUACACUAUAGGAUGGACCCGCGUUGUAUUAGCUAGUUGGUGAGGUAAAGGCUCACCAAGGCGAUGAUACAUAGCCGACCUGAGAGGGUGAUCGGCCACACUGGGACUGAGACACGGCCCAGACUCCUACGGGAGGCAGCAGUAGGGAAUCUUCGGCAAUGGACGAAAGUCUGACCGAGCAACGCCGCGAGUGAAGAAGGUUUUCGGAUCGUAAAACUCUGUUGUAAGAGAAGAACACCAGUAAGAGUGGAAAGCUUACUGGCUGACGGUAUCUUACCAGAAAGCCACGGCUAACUACGUGCCAGCAGCCGCCGUAA